GUCUUAUUAGAACAAACCUGAACCAUUGCGAUCCUAAUUUUCAUUGUUAACAUUAGGGCAAGGGACAUAUCAAAGCAUCAUCAUGAUUAUUUGGAAAAUCAACAAUCAGUAGCGAUUGAGAUUCAAUUGAUUUAACCUUAAAUCUUUCGAAUGUCGUACAGGAUCUUUAUUUUGCUGGUGAUUUUAGUGGAGUUUUCUGAACAGAGAUGCUUCCGCAUAAAUUUAGCCAAUUUCGGAUAUGGAUACGACCCCCAUUCCGCAGUACUAAAUGUUACAUCUUACAACGCUUCAAUGAUACAAGCUGACUUCGAAUUGUUCACAACCGUCCGUAAUCAAGCCUGGAGAAUUGAUAUUUCGAAAUGGAGCCCCUCUGAAGUGAUGACAACUCUCCUGGACGAAACUCUUAAUGCUCGAGAUUUCGUCCGCCUUUCUCGCAAUCCUCGUAUCGGCACCAUAAUAAAUGCAAUAAGGCACAUAAGCAAUUUCAACAUCACUGGUCGAAUCGAGACUAAACAGUAUCAUGUUCAGGCAAAUUUCGUGGAACUCGCUAGGAUUUUGCCCUUACGCUACUUUUAUAGGCCCAAUAUCUUCGGGAUGCUCGA